rnacentral:lncRNA from 1 species
ACCCCUUCCAACCCUAGUCAAAAAAUCCUAGUUGUCUCUCUCUGCUCUCCUGUACUAAACCUGUUUAGGAAUCAUUUUACCAACAACAAGGGAGAUGGAGUACUAUUGGCACUGAAUAGUGAAUAACCCAUAACAGAUUCUAACAGAACAUAGAUUGUUUUGCCAUUAUGGAGCUACUCUUUGGGAAACCUUCGGGGUAGAGACAAUAAAUAUCAGAUAGUUGGGAAUAAUUAAUUAGAGAAUUGUCCUCCAUGAUCUUGUCUCGAAGUGUAAUUGACAUCGAGAGUAUCUGAUCUUCAUAUCUUGCUUCUCAUCGCUGAUCAACUUAACAACUAAAUCAAUUAAUUGCGGGAUUCUGGGAUCUCAACUGCAAAUAAACCAUGUCAUAAAUAAGUCGGGCAUCCUAACAACUAAAUAAAAAAGUUCACGGGAUUUUAUGAUCUCAAAUGCAAAUAAACUAUGUCAUAAUAAGCACAAUAAGCUGGUGAUCACGAAAUGAGAGAGCACAUACCACUCAACCGGCUGAAAGGAACAUGGGCCCUAGCAUCAAAUCCCAAACGAAGUCGCUGAUGACGAAAAAAGCAAAUUUUGUUCAUACUUUUUGCCAACAGACUGAACUUCAUCUCUAAAUAUCGGUUGCAUUCUGCAUUAUCUUUAGGGUAUAAGAAUAAGGAUACUUCCUUGUGAACUGUGGGUAGUCCUUUUAAGCACGGAGAUCUGUUAAAAAGGAGCAAAUUUACAUUCUAAGAACAAUAAUAGAACGAAUUGCUGAAUAGUUCACAAAAAAUGGAUUGGAUCAAAAUUUCCUACUUUGGAAUAAGCAGGAAUAGGAGUAGGAAUAAAAAGCAUUGUAGAACACAAGUUUAGCAAGAAAAACGACAAUAAUAGUGACAUAGUUUCACGAAUAGUAGUGGUGCACUUCAAAAAUGGUAAAGUAGUACACUUCAAAAAUGGUAAAGUUAUAAUGGCACAAAUAUAAUUAACCCUUUUUUUAUUGGCUGCUUUCCCACCAAAGCUCUUUAAAAAAAUACGUUUUUAGCAUGCUAUUUUACACUAUUUGACAAAGAAUGACUUCUAAUGACUCGUGAAAUCGGUAAAGAAGCUCUGUCAAUCCGGACCUAAUGAUGGUAGUUUGAUCCGCGGGUCUGUUCCCAAUAGAUAUGGAUAUAGCUAGGAAAUCUCACCUGCAAGUACAUUCGGGGCGAGUACCCGCAAAUAUGCAGGUAAGGCACGAGUACAGGCAUUCGUUCGUCGGUAACCAUCUCGUAACUGCAAUUUAGGGGGUGUUUAGUUUAGGCUACUAAAGUUUAGCUAGCUAAUUUUAGUCUCUUUUAGUUAAUUUUUACCUAAACAAUAUCACAAAAUGGGACUAAAUGGACAUUUAGCUAGAGUAAUUAGUCACCAAGGGGUUGCUAAAUGGGUCUAAAGCCCAUGUCUUACAUUUUAAUCACUUUUGAGCCUUACCUCGUACAAACAGAGGUGGCUAAAGUUUAGCAGCUUCGAUCUAAAUAGAGCAUUGCCUCGUACAACAUAUAUACACAAAAGUGGUCACUUGGCCCAUUUAGUUUAUCCCACCCCAUAUAAAACCCUAAUAUUCCACGUGACCACACUCAACCACCCCACCACGUAGCCACACGCCCACACCAAAAACUCCCGUAUCAGCGCCUCCCCUGCACUCCCGCAGCCGUAGGCCAUAGUCGAUAGCUUGACGCUCGUCCCACCUCUUCGGUCGUCCACUCCUCGCAUGUCUCCGACUCAUUUAAUUUGGCUAUUAGAUUUAGACCUCUAUGUGUUGUGCAUCUAUCAUUCAUGUACUACUAGGAGGAUUCCCCGCGCGUUGCCGUGGGUAUGAAGUAGGAAAUAUAAAUAGGUUAGACCUUUAACUAAUAAGAGUUGCCGUGGAAUUUAGAGAUGAAAUUACAAUGUGAAGGGUAAAUUCUAAUGAGGUAGAUUAUUAUGUCAUAAUCACUAACACAUGCGGUAGAAUAUUUAAACACAAAGAACGAAUGAAAAAAUGAUAGAAAAUAAUUGAUUGAAUUGCCUUGUCUUGUGCACGAUAGGCUAGCUUGCUCAAUGUCUCUAUGUUCUUCCCGUAACCUUAUCUUCCUUAUGUGAGGAGAAAAAAAAGAAAGAAAGAAAACAAAAAGAGGAUACUGAUCCACCAAACGCCUUCUCGGGACAGAGUGCCUUUGGACUCCACAUAGAUUAAUAGAUAUCAGACCCUACCAAAAAUCGUCGAUUCUUCGAUGUCUACUUGACCGAUGCAUCUCGCGAUAGCGGUCUCCUGCAUCUCUGGUGGGGAGGGAGACUCCAGGCUCCUUGACGGCUCCUGCCUGGCAGACGGCCGAUGGCAUGCAUCAGGCUCCUGGA